GCUCAGUUUGGCAGUGCAUAUACUAAAAGUGGGAUGAUACAGAGAAGAUUAGCAUGGCCCCUGCGCAAGGAUAACACUCAAAUUUGUGACGCAUUCCAUAUUUAU
rfam:Fukomys damarensis contig113064, whole genome shotgun sequence.